CCUACGGGAGGCAGCAGUGAGGAAUAUUGGUCAAUGGGCGCGAGCCUGAAUCAGCCAAGCAGCGUGAAGGAUGACUGCCCUACGGGUUGUAAACUUCUUUUGUAAGGGAAUAAAGUGAGGCACGUGUGCCUUGAUGUAUGUAUUUUAUGAAUAAGGAUCGGCUAACUCCGUGCCAGCAGCCGCGGUAAUACGGAGGAUCCGAGCGUUAUCCGGAUUUAUUGGGUUUAAAGGGAGCGUAGUUGGGUUGUUAAGUCAGAUGUGAAAGUUUGCGGCUCAACCGGAAGAUUGCAAUUGAUACUGGCAGCCUGGAGUACAGGUGAGGUAGGCGGAAUUCGUGGUGUAGCGGUGAAAUGCUUAGAGAUCACGAAGAACUCCGAUUGCGAAGGCAGCCUACUAAACUGACACUGACGUUGAGGCUCGAAAGUGUGGGUAUCAAACAGGAUUAGAUACCCCGGUAGUC
rnacentral:rRNA from 1 species